rnacentral:rRNA from 1 species
UACGUAGGGUGCAAGCGUUGUCCGGAAUUAUUGGGCGUAAAGAGCUUGUAGGCGGUUUGUCGCGUCUGCCGUGAAAAUCCGGGGCUCAACCCCGGACUUGCGGUGGGUACGGGCAGACUAGAGUGUGGUAGGGGAGACUGGAAUUCCUGGUGUAGCGGUGAAAUGCGCAGAUAUCAGGAGGAACACCGAUGGCGAAGGCAGGUCUCUGGGCCACUACUGACGCUGAGAAGCGAAAGCGUGGGGAGCAAACCGG